rnacentral:rRNA from 1 species
GACGAACGCUGGCGGCGUGCCUAAUACAUGCAAGUCGAGCGGACGGAUGGGAGCUUGCUCCCAGACCGUCAGCGGCGGACGGGUGAGUAACACGUGGGCAACCUGCCUGUAAGACUGGGAUAACUCCGGGAAACCGGGGCUAAUACCGGAUAACUCUUUCCCUCACAUGAGGGAAAGCUGAAAGAUGGCAUCUCGCUAUCACUUACAGAUGGGCCCGCGGCGCAUUAGCUAGUUGGUGAGGUAACGGCUCACCAAGGCGACGAUGCGUAGCCGACCUGAGAGGAUGAUCGGCCACACUGGGAGUGAGACACGGCCCAGACUCCUACGGGAGGCAGCAGUAGGGAAUCUUCCGCAAUGGACGAAAGUCUGACGGAGCAACGCCGCGUGAGUGAUGAAGGUUUUCGGAUCGUAAAACUCUGUUGUCAGGGAAGAACAAGUACCGGAGUAACUGCCGGUACCUUGACGGUACCUGACCAGAAAGCCACGGCUAACUACGUG